UAAUACGGAGAGUGCAAGCGUUGCUCGGAAUUACUGGGCGUAAAGCGCGCGUAGGCGGGACUUUAAGUCGGAUGUGAAAUCCUGCGGCUCAACCGUAUGUAGUGCAUCCGAUACUGAAGACCUAGAGUUCGGCAGAGGAAAGUGGAAUUCCCGGUGUAGAGGUGAAAUUCGUAGAUACCGGGAGGAACACCAGUGGCGAAGGCGACUUUCUGGGCCUGAACUGACGCUGAGGUGCGAAAGCGUGGGGAGCAAACGGGAUUAGAUACCCCGGUAGUCCACGCCGUAAACGAUGGAUGCUAGGUGUUCGAGACUACGUGUUUUGAGUGCCGAAGCUAACGCAUUAAGCAUCCCGCCUGGGGAGUACGGCCGCAAGGCUA
rnacentral:rRNA from 1 species